rnacentral:rRNA from 1 species
AUUGAACGCUGGCGGCAGGCCUAACACAUGCAAGUCGAGCGAGAGGCGGACGGGUGAGUAAUGUAUGAGGAUCUGCCCGACAGAGGGGGAUAACGACUGGAAACGGUGGCUAAUAACGCAUACUAACGGAUGAACCCAUAGGGGAUUAGCUAGUAGGUGGGGUAAAGGCUCACCUAGGCGACGAUCUCUAGCUGGUCUGAGAGGAUGAUCAGCCACACUGGGACUGAGACACGGCCCAGACUCCUACGGGAGGCAGCAGUGGGGAAUAUUGAACAAUGGUCGCAAGCCUGAUGCAGCCAUGCCGCGUGUAUGAAGAAGGCCUUAGGGUUGUAAAGUACUUUCAGCGGGGAGGCGUUACCCGCAGAAGAAGCACCGGCUAACUCCGUGCCAGCAGCCGCGGUAAUUC